rnacentral:rRNA from 1 species
AGAGUUUGAUCCUGGCUCAGGACGAACGCUGGCGGCGUGCUUAACACAUGCAAGUCGAACGGUGAUCUUGGGGCUUGCCUCGGGUGAUCAGUGGCGAACGGGUGAGUAACACGUGAGUAACCUGCCCCAGACUCUGGGAUAACUCCGGGAAACCGGAGCUAAUACCGGAUAUGACAUCGGGCCGCAUGGUCGGGUGUGGAAAGUUUUUCGGUUUGGGAUGGGGGUCGCGGCCUAUCAGCUUGUUGGUGAGGUAGUGGCUCACCAAGGCGACGACGGGUAGCCGGCCUGAGAGGGCGACCGGCCACACUGGGACUGAGACACGGCCCAGACUCCUACGGGAGGCAGCAGUGGGGAAUAUUGGACAAUGGGCGCAAGCCUGAUCCAGCCAUGCCGCGUGUGUGAAGAAGGCCUUCGGGUUGUAAAGCACUUUUGUCCGGAAAGAAAAGCUUCGGGUUAAUAACCUGGAGUCAUGACGGUACCGAAG